rfam:Schistosoma haematobium scaffold667_25, whole genome shotgun sequence.
ACACUGCUGAGGACUCCCACAAUAGGACGAAACGGCCGUCCAGUGC